ACGCUCGACACCUACGGGAGGCAGCAGUCGGGAAUAUUGCGCAAUGGAGGAAACUCUGACGCAGUGACGCCGCGUAUGGGAAGAAGGUUUUCGGAUUGUAAACCAUUUUAGACAAGGAAGAAACAAGACAGUACUUGUAGAAUAAGCUCCGGCUAACUACGUGUCAGCAGCCGCGGUAAUCUGAGCGGGCUGGCAAGGC
rnacentral:rRNA from 1 species